UACGUAGGGUGCAAGCGUUGUCCGGAAUUAUUGGGCGUAAAGAGCUCGUAGGCGGUUUGUCGCGUCUGCUGUGAAAGUCCGAGGCUCAACCUCGGAUCUGCAGUGGGUACGGGCAGACUAGAGUGUGGUAGGGGAGACUGGAAUUCCUGGUGUAGCGGUGGAAUGCGCAGAUAUCAGGAGGAACACCAAUGGCGAAGGCAGGUCUCUGGGCCACAACUGACGCUGGAGGAGCGAAAAGCAUGGGGGAGCGAACAGG
rnacentral:rRNA from 1 species